UACGUAGGGGGCAAGCGUUGUCCGGAUUUAUUGGGCGUAAAGAGCGUGUAGGCGGCUGGGUAGGUCCGCUGUGAAAACUCGAGGCUUAACCUCGAGACGUCGGUGGAAACCAUCCAGCUAGAGUCCGGAAGAGGAGAGUGGGAUUCCUGGUGUAGCGGUGAAAUGCGCAGAUAUCAGGAAGAACACCCGUGGCGAAAGCGGCUCUCUGGGACGGUACUGACGCUGAGACGCGAAAGCGUGGGGAGCAAACAGG
rnacentral:rRNA from 1 species